rnacentral:rRNA from 1 species
GACGAACGCUGGCGGCGUGCUUAACACAUGCAAGUCGAGCGGUAAGGCCCUUUCGGGGGUACGACGAGCGGCGAACGGGUGAGUAACACGUGGGUGACCUGCCCUCAGCUCUGGGAGUAAGCCUGGGAAACCGGGUACUAAUACUGGAUAUGACUCCAUGACGCAUGUUGUGGGGUGGAAAGCCUUGUGCGGCUGAGGAUGGGCCCGCGGCCUAUCAGCUUGUUGGUGGGGUGANGGCC